GAAGUCAGUCAGGCAGUCGCCGCGCCCGCAAGGGCGGGGAGGAAAGUCCGGGCUCCACAGAGCAGGAUGCCGGUUAACGACCGGGCGUCGCGAGGCGACGGAAAGUGGAACAGAGAGCAGAACCGCCGAUGGCCUUGGCGACAGGGCACAGGCAAGGGUGAAAAGGUGUACCGGGCAGGCGAAAGCCGGUCCGGACAGGCGGGGCGACCCGCCUGCGGUAAGAGCGCACCGCGGACGUGGCGACACGGACGGCAGGCUAAACCCCAUCCGGAGCAAGACCAAAUAGGGGGGCGCUAACGCGGCUCGCGUUGUCCCCGGGUAGGUUGCUUGAACCUGUCGGCAACGGCAGGUCUAGAGGAAUGACUGUCCAACGACAGAACCCGGCUUAUCGACUGACUUCCACC
rnacentral:RNase_P_RNA from 1 species